AGCAGCCCUCCCACAGAAGGGCAUGGCCUGCGGUCGAGGCCAGAUCACAGCUAGCUUUCUCAGCUGAAGCGGUCUCCUUCUCACUGCUGUCAGGUUUUCUCACGUCCCUGGAAGACCCUGAGCACGGAUCUCAACCGUUUCCCCUGCAACAUGUGAUUUUUAAGGAUACCCCAGCCCUGCUGGGACAGCCUAGAAAAGGAAGCCUUUGCCAUUCAGCCGGAAGAAGAAGUGAGAAGUAUCAAAAUAGAGCACACCUUUCAAGAUUAGUUACUUAAGGCUAUUACAGAUGGAAUAUUUGUGUCCCUCUAAACUUCAUAUGUGGAAGCCCAGAUCCCCAGUGUGACGGUAUUUGGAAGUGGACCUUUGAGAGGUGAUAGUUUAGAUGAAGUCACGAGGGUGGAGCCCAUGAUGAAAUUAGUGGCUUCCCAAGAAAAAGAUGAGACUACAGAGUUUCUACCUCUCCCAACUGAGGAUGCAUUUAAAAGGAGGCUAUGUGAUAACCAAGAAGGCCCUCACCAAGACCUGAGUUGGUCUCAACCUUGAUCUUGCACUUCUUAGCUUCCUAAAAC